UAGCCUAGUGGUUAAGGCUAUGGUUCGCCAAUCCGGAGACAGCGGGUUCGAUUCCCGU
rfam:Aedes albopictus isolate Foshan contig23186, whole genome shotgun sequence.